AGAGUUUGAUCAUGGCUCAGGACGAACGCUGGCGGCGCGCCUAACACAUGCAAGUCGAACGAGAGAGAGGGAGCUUGCUUCCUCGAUCGAGUGGCGAACAGGUGAGUAACGCGUGAGGAACCUGCCUCAAAGAGGGGGACAACAGUUGGAAACGACUGCUAAUACCGCAUAAGCCCACGGCUCGGCAUCGAGCAGAGGGAAAAGGAGCAAUCCGCUUUGAGAUGGCCUCGCGUCCGAUUAGCUAGUUGGUGAGGUAACGGCCCACCAAGGCGACGAUCGGUAGCCGGACUGAGAGGUUGAACGGCCACAUUGGGACUGAGACACGGCCCAGACUCCUGCGGGAGGCAGCA
rnacentral:rRNA from 1 species